CCUACGGGGGGCAGCAGUGAGGAAUAUUGGUCAAUGGUCGGGAGACUGAACCAGCCAAGCCGCGUGAGGGAUGAAGGUACAGAGUAUCGUAAACCUCUUUUGUCAGGGAACAAAGGCGGGGACGUGUCCCCGGAUGAGUGUACCUGAAGAAAAAGCAUCGGCUAACUCCGUGCCAGCAGCCGCGGUAAUACGGAGGAGGCGAGCGUUAUCAGGAUUUAUGGGGUUUAAAGGGUGCGCAUGCGGUUUGUUAAGUCAGCGGUCAAAGCCCGGGGCUCAACCCCGGCCCGCCGUUGAAACUGGCAGUCUCGAGUUGGAGAGAAGUAUGCGGAAUGCGCGGUGUAGCGGUGAAAUGCAUAGAUAUCGCGCAGAACUCCGAUUGCGAAGGCAGCAUGCCGGCUCCACACUGACGCUGAGGCACGAAAGCGUGGGUAUCGAACAGGAUUAGAUACCCCUGUAGUC
rnacentral:rRNA from 1 species